UACGUAGGGUGCGAGCGUUGUCCGGAAUUAUUGGGCGUAAAGAGCUCGUAGGCGGUUUGUUGCGUCUAUCGUGAAAACCUGCGGCUUAACUGUGGGCUUGCGGUGGAUACGGGCAGACUUGAGUUCGGUAGGGGAGACUGGAAUUCCUGGUGUAGCGGUGAAAUGCGCAGAUAUCAGGAGGAACACCGGUGGCGAAGGCGGGUCUCUGGGCCGAUACUGACGCUGAGGAGCGAAAGCGUGGGGAGCGAGCAGG
rnacentral:rRNA from 1 species